GCACUAAUAAAAGAAACGUUCCUAUACCGAACAAAGUGUAGAGGAUAUUGAUGUAAUAUAAUGAAUAGAUUACCUAUAUUUUCAGAAAUAAUGUACAAGCCUUCAUCUUGUGCAUCACAUGACAAGAUAAUUAGCUAACUGGCCAGAUUAGUAAAUUCAACCAAGCCGAGUUUAUCUGGUAAAAUGAAAUCAAAUUUACAUUUGCAUAUUACAUAAUUUUGCUCUAUAAGAUCAGGGAUGAACUUGAUGAAAUUGAAGACAUAUUCCAUCCAUGAAUAGUAGCAUGUCUGUUUCAUUCGACAUUCUUGUAUUAUGUUCCUGAGAUGGUCUUGUUGAUAACUGGUUUGAAAGUAGACCUCAAGAAAUGUUUCAUCUGCAGUUAAGUCACACACGGUAAGCAAAAAGACAAAUGUUUGAAAACCCACGAAGAACCCAGUUCCAUAGUUUAAACAAAAUGUUAGAUGCAAUUUUCAAUGACAGAAUGACCAGUAAAAAGUUUUUCUUUCUUUCCACUAUCAAAGAAGUGGCCGAACACAUUUCAGCAGCAGAACUAUGUAGAACUAAAAAAGAACACCUUAAUUCGCUAGCCGUUGCUGAUUUUCCAAUUGGUAAAGUACCAGUCUCAUUAAGUCCUUUUUACACGAAAAACAAUGUUUUGUUAAUUACAGCCCCACGUUAGUAUGAUCUAAACUGAAAUAAGGCAUGCAAAAUAAACUCUCCAGUAAUAUUCUGCGGCGAAAAGUUCACAAACCACAAGCAAUAUCUGAUUACAGUUUGUUGUAUAGAAACUAUGUAUACUAACACGCGUAGUCGCACUUGGAAAUGGCAGACAAUCAUUACUUAAGACGGUACAAAAUCGAGGGUUACAGAUUCGAAAAGUUGUCAAUAAACUAAAGUAUCUUUGUUAGGAAAAAUAACACAUCCCUGUAAUGAACAAAUCUGCAUACAUAAUUCAAAAGUUUCUAAUUCGUCAAUAAUAUCAAUCAUGGCCAGACCAACUGAACUAUUCCUCACCACUCAGCUAUAUAAGACAUUAUCAGACAGACAUCAUUGGUGAUAUUUUCCGAAUUCACAUAAAUGUAGGAAGAUAUGCCUACUGCACCGUCCCUCUAAUAGUAGAGCUUGAUUGUUACUGCGAAGUACAAGUUUACGUCUUGUGGUAGGGGCAGAUGUUGCACAGUUGUUCAUACGCAAAAGAAUUGUUGAGGAAACAUCAGUGCCAUAAGCAUGAAAAAAUGGUAUGCAUAGUACUCUGUAAUAGCAAUGAUCGAUCAACUAAUGUGUGUAGACUUACAAUAACCGGG
rnacentral:lncRNA from 1 species